UACGUAGGGUGCGAGCGUUGUCCGGAAUUAUUGGGCGUAAAGAGUUCGUAGGUGGUCUGUUGCGUCGGAAGUGAAAUCCCGGAGCUCAACUCCGGGACUGCUUUCGAUACGGGCAGACUAGAGGUAGGUAGGGGAGAGCGGAAUUCCUGGUGUAGCGGUGGAAUGCGCAGAUAUCAGGAGGAACACCGGUGGCGAAGGCGGCUCUCUGGACCUAUUCUGACACUGAGGAACGAAAGCGUGGGUAGCAAACAGGCUUAGAUACCCUGGUAGUCCACGCCGUAAACGUUGGGCGCUAGGUGUGGGGAACUUUCCACGUUCUCCGUGCCGCAGCUAACGCAUUAAGCGCCCCGCCUGGGGAGUACGGCCGCAAGGCUAAA
rnacentral:rRNA from 1 species